ensembl:snRNA U6 U6 spliceosomal RNA
GUGCUCACUACAGCAGCACAUAUACUAAAAUUGGAUUGAUACAGAGAAGAUUAGCAUGGCCCCUGCAAAAGGAUGACAGGCAAAUCUGUGAAGUGCUCCAGAUUUUU